rnacentral:lncRNA from 1 species
UGGAAGGAAGAGCAUUCUGAGCAGAGGGAACAGCAAUUGCAAAGGACCUGCCUGAUGCCUUCAAGGAACUGCAAGCAGCUGUGGGCUGGGGUGGAGAGAGCGACGGAGGGAGGGAGGAGAUGCGCUCCGAGAGGCAGUAGGGGCAGGUGACGCAGGGCCUCGAGGCCAAAAUAGGAACACUAGCUUUUAUUCUGCGUAGUGCACAUGCAUUUCAAACUAAUGCGUUCACAAGUCUGUGUAAGAGACUCUGGAAUUUAGAAGAAGGAAAGAUCACUUCCGGCUUGGGGGGGACUGAUGAGAGGAGCAGGAGAUGCGAGAAGAGCAUGGAGGAGCCAGGAGGGGAGACAGCUUUCGGAGAGGCGAAGGCCGGGCCUCCCUCAGCCCCUGAAGCAGGGGCGGCCCAGGAGGAGAGGCUUCCUGAGCGCCUGGCCAGUCCACCACAUGCUUCAGGAACAGGAGGGGGUGCAGAUGAAUCUUGUUCUUUGCCUGCCCAGUGGUCAUCCAGGCUCCAGCACGUCUGCUCCGCUGUGAUAGAGGCGGAAGGAGCAGGUCGGAACAAACCCCACGGCCCCAGCAGAUGGCCCGACAUGAGCAGCUACUUUUUCGACCAGGAGCCAAGAAUAUUCAGUUCACGCCUGGUCUGUGCUGGCUUUAAAACUCCAGGGUGCCAUCUCAUUGACGGAGACCACGUAUGCAGCCUCGGAGAGCAGCGCUCGGUCUGGGGAGUCCGUUUCUGGAAGGCACGGUCUGCUCAACAGACGGAAGCAUGCUUUCUAAUGGUCAGAGCUAACGCCCUGGGAGCCAGCUGCUUUGUGAGUGGGUGAGCCCCCCGGCCCUGGGAGUGUGAAAACUGCAGGUAAGGGAGGGACGCCACAAGGGCACCCAACAGUGACUCUGGGUUGCUCCAUUCCCACCGGCAGAAGGUUCCUGGCAACAGAAUCUGUGAUUGCCUCUGGCUCACUCUUCUAGCCCACCAGCCCGGCGGUGGUUUUCUUACUUUUCAUUGACACAAGUAAUCCGUGGUAUCUUCUCCGUGUAAAAAUUAAAACACUACAAAUAGAGCUAAAGUCACCUUUGACCAUCAUCCCCAGUCCUUGUCCCUCUUGCCCUACCCGGAGGCAGCCAUGGUCGUCACACGUCUCCUUUCAGACUCACAUUGCGUUUACAUGUAUGCGACCGUGGACGAGGAUGGAGCAGCCUGGUGUGUGGCUUUGUUUUUGUUUUACUAAAAGGCAUCUUACUGUAAGUAUCAUGCUAUAAGCUAUGUUUUCCGCUCUAUGACCUGUCUCGACAGUCUUUCCCGUCGCUGCUUACAGACCUGUCUCACUCGUUUUAUGCGGUGCCUGGUAAUCCUGGUUAUGGCCUAUGCACCUCCUUUACUCAGCCCUCCUCUGGGGGAUGGGCAUUUGUGUUGUUUCCAGGUGCUUGUCGGUACUCACUACACUUUGCUAAACAUCCUCUUGCACCUGUGGCGUAGGGAGAAGGAUGUCUGGGUCGUGGGUUAGGCGUUUGUUCCACAUUUAAUUGACCCCAGCAGGUUGCCCUCUGAACUGGUGGGGCCGACCGGCUCCCUGCAGCAGGGCAUGCACCCACAUUUCCCCAGCUCACCCCCAGCACUCGACACCAUCAGCUUGAAGACUUGGCCAGCCUGAUGGCUGAAAGUUAGUUUUUCAUUGUUAAGUUGUAUUUUUCUGCUUUUUGACGAGAUUGAGCAUUUUUUCAGGGUUACCAGCCAUUUGCAUUUUCUCUCCUGUUCUGCUCAUCAUCAUGCAAACUGGCCUUUGCUUUUCCCCUCCUGCCCCCUCCAGCCCCCUCCAGCCCCCU